GCCCGUUGGUCAAGUGGUUAAGACACCGCCCUUUCACGGCGGUAACACGGGUUCGAAUCCCGUACGGGU
rnacentral:tRNA from 2 species